CCUACGGUGCGCAGCAGUGGGGAAUAUUGGGCAAUGGGCGCAAGCCUGACCCAGCAACGCCGCGUGAAGGAAGAAGGCUUUCGGGUUGUAAACUUCUUUUGUCAGGGACGAAGCACGUGACGGUACCUGACGAAUAAGCCACGGCUAACUAAGUGCCAGCAGCCGGGGUAAUACGUAGGUGGCAAGCGUUAUCCGGAUUUACUGGGUGUAAAGGGCGUGUAGGCGGGACUGCAAGUCAGAUGUGAAAACCACGGGCUCAACCUGUGGCCUGCAUUUGAAACUGUAGUUAUUGAGUACUGGGGAGGCAGACGGAAUUCCUAGUGUAGCGGUGAAAUGCGUAGAUAUUAGGAGGAACACCAGUGGCGAAGGCGGUCUGCUGGACAGCAACUGACGCUGAGGCGCGAAAGCGUGGGGAGCAAACAGGAUUAGAUACCCUUGUAGUC
rnacentral:rRNA from 1 species